rnacentral:rRNA from 1 species
CAGUCGCCGCUGUAAUACAGAGGGUGCAAGCGUUAAUCGGAAUUACUGGGCGUAAAGCGCGCGUAGGUGGUUUGUUAAGUUGGAUGUGAAAUCCCCGGGCUCAACCUGGGAACUGCAUCCAAAACUGGCAAGCUAGAGUAUGGUAGAGGGUGGUGGAAUUUCCUGUGUAGCGGUGAAAUGUGUAGAUAUAGGAAGGAACACCAGUGGCGAAGGCGACCACCUGGACUGAUACUGACACUGAGGUGCGAAAGCGUGGGGAGCAAACAGGAUUAGAUACCCCAGUAGUCCCUGUCUCUUAUAC